AGGUGGAGUGCGUAACAGUACCAUGCCCCUCUCUCCUCCAAACUGGAUCAGGAAAAGCGGCCUUGCUGGGCAAUGAUUCAAUCCAAAAGGCAAGAGCUCUUUCAGAAGUACUUUUCAGAAAGGCAAUAUCUCUUUUACUGGCCAAUGGGGUUCUCUCUUCUAAAAUUGGACUAAAAUUUCCCAGUGGGUUCUCCAAUUUAACUCUUUCUAAAACCUUUAGAAGCUAUGAAAGAAAGGGAAUAACCUUCCACUUGUCAUGUACAUCCUCUUAAGGUCUUCUCUCUUCUAUGUCAAAGCAUCGCAAAAUUACACAGUCUAUCAUUUAGUGUUGGAUAUUCCAAGGUAUAACUUCCUUCUCUACAUAUAUAUUCAUUUUGUAUGUUUUUCUAAUUUGUGAGGGUGAUUUCUGCCUGUACGUAUUAAUUGAUCCAUAUAUAAAAUACCAGCACUCAAAUUUUGUCAAAGAGGUUGGCCUGUUAAAUGUAGCAUUGUGGUGCUCAACAGAUUCUAUUUACAAUUUUAGUGUUCAAGUACAAACAAGUUAUACGCAUAUUUCAAACUCACUGGUGGUGUCAAUCUUGAUUCACUUUUUUUGGAUCAGCUGCUAUAUGUUAUAGGCAUAUUCUCACUGUAAAAAUGCCCUAAAUGUGAGGCCUUGACUUACCUUUUCUUUUUGAAAUUAUUACUUUGCCAUUGUUUCGAUGUUACCACAACCACAUGGUUGUACUCUUCCACAUAAGAUCGACUCUACGUUUAAUCUGUAGUAAUUUAGUUGACUGAUUUUGCAUGCUAAUAAUUCAAUAGAUGGGCACAACUUUUUUUGGAGGGAAAUAGAUGGUUACAACUUAACAAUGUUGGGUGCAUUAUGUUCUGUCAAGACUUAAUAUAUGGGGGCUAUCGGUCAUGCACCUUUUCUUCUUUUGUAUUUGGGAGUAUUUUGUAUAUUUUGUGCAAUAUGAUUUGUGAAAUAUUUUUGGCCAAAUAUGUUUUUCGCCAUCUGCGGAUGAUUUUGGAAAACAUAGGUUGACAUUGAUAUCAAUCUAUCUAAAGAAAAUGAUAUUGAUUCUUCCUCGUGCUCUAUUAUUAGUGAUCCUGUAACAGCUUUCUUAUCCAUUCAUACAAGUCAAAGAUGCGCACAUUGUUGCUUCCUUGUGCUUUGUUAAUAUUGAUUUUCUAAUGGAUUUUUAUAGAUAAAUUUAUGUGCAUGGCACAGAUUAACAGUUUGGCCAGGCUUUUGUACUGAGCGAUGUCAUUUUGAAAAAAAAACUGAAUAAACUAAACCCAUCAGACGAGAAAAGGCUGAUUCUGCCAAUUCAAGUUCGAUGUCUGGCUAGGUGUCUUGUGCAGACUUGACAUGGGCUAUGUUGGACACUAGCAAGUGUUCCCAAUCACAUCUUAAAGAAAUUCAAGUUCGCUGCAGGAAAGGUUUGCUCUUUCAAAAUCAAUGCACUUGUGAGUACCAAGCUGAAUAAGGUUUAUUAUGCAUGCUGAAUAAGGUACUGAAAUGAUCUGAAUUUCAAACUCUGUUUUCUUUGCUUGCUUGGUAGUACAGUCUGCAGUGCAUAACACAUCUUCUUGUUUUUUUUUCUGUUAUAGUUUCAUUUUUCAGAAACUUGUCAGAGGACGAGACGACAGACUUUAGAGAAUGUGACUCCCAGUAUAGUGAUAAAUAGAGGGAAAAUUAACCUUAAGGUCCUAAGGGCUGCUUUAUAAAAGCUUUGUACCAAAUUUACUGAAUUAGAAAUAACAGUUGAUACAGCUGAUGGAGGUGUAUGAACGGGCAGUUCUUGCAGUUACUUAUUCAGUGGACAUAUGGUGUAAUUAUUGUCAGUUUGCGAUUUCAACAUACAAUGACCCAGAUGUCAUCAGAAGGUAGCAAUUGAAUAUCGGGACUAUUCCGAUGAAGUUUUUUUAAUAUAUUUUUAUAGUGUCUUGACUUUUGUUAACUACCGCAUUUUAGGCUGUAUGUGUAUGUAUAGGAAUACAUACAUGGCAAGAAGGGAUUUUACAAUACCUAGGACCUGCACAGGAAUGCUUGAUGAAAUGCUUUAUAAUAUUUUAGCACUGUUUUUCGGCAGUCCUUGUGGUAGGAAAGUGAUCCAUUCUUCGAAAACUCAUCUACUACUACUCACCAAAUCACAUCGUUCCAUAUAUGGACUAACUGAGAAUCUGGGAUUUUUCCAUCAAUCGCACUGCCUUUCCAUCCCCUCCAUCAACAAGCGAUCAAUCUUCCACAUCGCAAAAAAAAGAAGAGAGUCAAUCUUCCAAAUCACUUCAUUCCAUAUAUGGACUAACUUGGAAUCUGGGAUUCCAUCGAUCGCGCUGCCUACAUGCCCCUCCAACAAGCGAUCAAUCUCAGCACAGAAGGCUCUUUGUUUUCUUGACGCUCGUGGCUUUUGUAGCAAAUUCUAUUUGUUCUUCGCCACUUUGGGUUGUGGGGCUUACUUCCUAGCCCCGCCUGCUUGUUGUACCACCGCCCACUUUGUGGCUCUAGCGCCAGCGCCAGCCUGGGACAUCUCUCUAUCCGGGCCGGCAUACCGGGAUGUUGCAGGGCCGCCGUCACCUCGAGAAGGGGCGAGGAGUCCAUCGUAUGCCCAGUUGAUGUCCCUGGGUACUCACUGUGGCACGAAGAGUCCCUCACCGUUGUCCUCUUCGACCAGCAUAACAACGACAGGUCAGCCUGUGCAGACUACAAACUGAGGGCGCAGAUGUGCCACGCACAAGACACAAGGGUGACAAGGCCAGGAGCGGCAGCAGGCGGCGGUGGAGCACGCAGCAAGAUUUUCAAUCGGCAAAAUGAUUUGGUGUAAUACAAGCUUCCUGGGGAAAUCUGGUUUAGCUUUCAGUCCAGCUUUGAUGAUAAAAUAACAUCAGCCUACCUCGAACAUAACUUUAAUAAAGAAAUCUUUGCAAGGAAUAUGUGUGAUUUCGGAGGAGCCAAGUUGCAAGGAGCUAAUGGGACACGAA